rnacentral:rRNA from 1 species
AUUGAACGCUGGCGGCAGGCCUAACACAUGCAAGUCGAGCGAGCGGCGGACGGGUGAGUAAUGUAUGGGGAUAUGACCGAGAGAGGUGGAUAACUACUGGAAAAGGUGGCUAAUACCGCAUACUAUAGGAUGAACCCAUAUGGGAUUAGCUAGUAGGUGGGGUAAAGGCUAACCUAGGCGACGAUCUCUAGCUGGUCUGAGAGGAUGAUCAGCCACACGGGAACUGAGACACGGUCCAGACUCCUACGGGAGGAAGCAGUGGGGAAUAUUGCACAAUGGGCGCAAGCCUGAUGCAGCCAUGCCGCGUGUAUGAAGAAGGCCUUAGGGUUGUAAAGUACUUUCAGCGGGGAGGCGUUACCCGCAGAAGAAGCACCGGCUAACUCCGUGCCAGCAGCCGCGGUAAUUC